AACCCAUGGUGUGGGCAUUGGUUGGUGUAGCUCCUGAAUCUCUCAUAUGCUUCACCAAUACUCUCAUUGCUGUUCUGAGUGAAGCUAGAGAUUUGGCUUCUCAGUUU
rfam:Eutrema salsugineum unplaced genomic scaffold scaffold_15, whole genome shotgun sequence.